GACGUAGGGCGCGAGCGUUGUCCGGAUUUAUUGGGCGUAAAGAGCUCGUAGGCGGCUUGUUGCGUCUGCUGUGAAAACCCGCAGCUCAACUGUGGGCUUGCAGCUGAUACGGGCAGGCUUGAGUGCGGUAGGGGAGACUGGAAUUCCUGGUGUAGCGGUGAAAUGCGUAGAUAUCAAGAGGAACACCAACGGCGAAGGCAGCUAGCUGGACGAGAUCUGACGCUCAGGCUCGAAAGUAUGGGGAGCAAACAGG
rnacentral:rRNA from 1 species